UCGGAUGUGGUGUAGGAAACACAGCGGGGGCUACUUGUAUGAUGAUGCACCGCUGUCUCGCCAACCGGGGUUCGACUCCCCGCAUCCGAA